rnacentral:rRNA from 1 species
CACGUAGGCGGACUUUUAAGUUGGGGGUGAAAUCCCGGGGCUCAACCCCGGAACUGCCUUCAAAACUGGGAGUCUUGAGGUAUGGAGAGGGAAGUGGAAUUCCUGGUGUAGCGGUGAAAUGCGUAGAUAUCAGGAGGAACACCCGUGGCGAAGGCGGCUUCCUGGCCAUAUCCUGACGCUGAGGUGCGAAAGCUAGGGGAGCGAACGGGAUUAGAUACCCCGGUAGUCCUAGCCGUAAACGAUGGAUACUAGGUGUUAGAGGUAUCGACCCCUCUAGUGCCGCAGCUAACGCAUUAAGUAUCCCGCCUGGGGAGUACGGCCGCAAGGCUGAA